rnacentral:lncRNA from 1 species
CACCUCCUUCUCCUCCACCCCCUUCUCCCAAUGCUCCUCCACCGACUCCUCCGCCAUCUCCACCCAUUGCUCCAGUUCCGCCUCCCUCCAAUCCCUCACCUCCGCCAUUAACACCACCACCAACUUCACCUCCACCGCCACCACCACCGACCAAUCCGCCCAGGAGUCCGCCUCCCCCACCACCUACAGAACCACCAGUGACUUCACCUCCUCCACCAUCUUCAAACCCCCCUAAAAGUUCACCACCACCAUCAGAACCACCAAAAACCUCACCCCCACCACCAUCUAAACCACCCCCUGUUUCACCACCAUCACCAUCACCAUCAAGUCCACCUGAGGAUUCACCUCCACCACCUGUACCUGUGCCACCCAGUAAUUCAACCCCUCCCGCCCCGUCUCCAUCUGGUUCUCAACCAGCAACUCCACCCUCUCCAAAUUCUCCUCCAAAAGGAUCGCCACCACCACCCAGGACACCAACUCCAC